rnacentral:rRNA from 1 species
ACGGCGAGUGAGCGGUAACAGCUCAAAUUUGAAAUCUGGGUCUUUCAGGCUCCGAGUUGUAAUUUGUAGAAGAUGCUUCGGGUGCGGCUCCGGUCUAAGUUCCUUGGAACAGGACGUCAUAGAGGGUGAGAAUCCCGUAUGUGAUCGGUUGCUUGCGCCCAUGUGAAGCUCUUUCGACGAGUCGAGUUGUUUGGGAAUGCAGCUCAAAAUGGGUGGUAAAUUUCAUCUAAAGCUAAAUAUUGGCCAGAGACCGAUAGCGCACAAGUAGAGUGAUCGAAAGAUGAAAAGCACUUUGGAAAGAGAGUUAAACAGUACGUGAAAUUGUUGAAAGGGAAGCGCUUGCAACCAGACUUGCGCGUUGCCGAUCAUCCGGGGUUCUCCCCGGUGCACUCGGCCUCGCUCAGGCCAGCAUCGGUUUUGGUGGUGGGAUAAAGGCCUUGGGAAUGUAGCUCCUUUCGGGGAGUGUUAUAGCCCUCGGUGCAAUGCCGCCUACCGGGACCGAGGACCGCGCUUCGGCUAGGAUGCUGGUGUAAUGGUUGUAAGCGAC